UACGUAGGGCGCAAGCGUUGUCCGGAAUUAUUGGGCGUAAAGAGCUCGUAGGCGGUUUGUCGCGUCUGCUGUGAAAACUCGAGGCUCAACCUCGGGUCUGCAGUCGAUACGGGCAAACUAGAGUAUUGCAGGGGAGAACGGAAUUCCUGGUGUAGCGGUGAAAUGACGCAGAUAUCAGGAGGAACACCGGUGGCGAAGGCGGAUCUCUGGGCCGGUACUGACACUGAGGCGCGAAAGCUAGGGGAGCGAACGGG
rnacentral:rRNA from 1 species